rnacentral:rRNA from 1 species
CACGUAGGAGGCGAGCGUUGUCCGGAAUCAUUGGGCGUAAAGAGCGCGCAGGCGGCUUGGCAAGUCGGGUGUGAAAUCCCGGGGCUCAACCCCGUGACUGCAUCCGAUACUGUCAGGCUAGAGGUAGGUAGGGGAGAUCGGAAUUCCUGGUGUAGCGGUGAAAUGCGCAGAUAUCAGGAGGAACACCAAUAGCGAAGGCAGCUCGCUGGGACGGUACUGACGCUAAGGUGCGAAAGCGUGGGGAGCGAACGAGGA